rnacentral:rRNA from 1 species
GGGGGGCACAGUAGGGAAUCUUCGGCAAUGGACGAAAGUCUGACCGAGCAACGCCGCGUGAGUGAAGAAGGUUUUCGGAUCGUAAAACUCUGUUGUUAGAGAAGAACAAGGACGUUAGUAACUGAACGUCCCCUGACGGUAUCUAACCAGAAAGCCACGGCUAACUACGUGCCAGCAGCCGCGGUAAUACGUAGGUGGCAAGCGUUGUCCGGAUUUAUUGGGCGUAAAGCGAGCGCAGGCGGUUUCUUAAGUCUGAUGUGAAAGCCCCCGGCUCAACCGGGGAGGGUCAUUGGAAACUGGGAGACUUGAGUGCAGAAGAGGAGAGUGGAAUUCCAUGUGUAGCGGUGAAAUGCGUAGAUAUAUGGAGGAACACCAGUGGCGAAGGCGGCUCUCUGGUCUGUAACUGACGCUGAGGCUCGAAAGCGUGGGGAGCAAACAGGAUUAGAUACCCUGGUAGUCCACGCCGUAAACGAUGAGUGCUAAGUGUUGGAGGGUUUCCGCCCUUCAGUGCUGCAGCAAACGCAUAAGCACUCCGCCUGGG